rnacentral:rRNA from 1 species
AGUGAACGCUGGCGGUAGGCCUAACACAUGCAAGUCGAACGGCAGCACAGAGGAGCUUGCUCCUUGGGUGGCGAGUGGCGGACGGGUGAGGAAUACAUCGGAAUCUACUCUGUCGUGGGGGAUAACGUAGGGAAACUUACGCUAAUACCGCAUACGACCUACGGGUGAAAGCAGGGGACCUUCGGGCCUUGCGCGAUUGAAUGAGCCGAUGUCGGAUUAGCUAGUUGGCGGGGUAAAGGCCCACCAAGGCGACGAUCCGUAGCUGGUCUGAGAGGAUGAUCAGCCACACUGGAGCUGAGACACGGUCCAGACUCCUACAGGGGGCAGCAGUGGGGAAUAUUGGACAAUGGGGGCAAGCCUGAUCCAGCCAUACCGCGUGGGUGAAGAAGGCCUUCGGGUUGUGAAGCCCUGUUGUUGGGAAAGAAAUCCAGCUGGCUAAUACCCGGUUGGGAUGACGGUACCCAAAGAAUAAGCACCGGCUAACUUCGUGCCAGCCGCCGCCGUAA